UAUGUGAUCGUCUCUCGCAUAUCAAUAAGCGGAGGAAAAGAAACUAACAAGGAUUCCCCUAGUAACGGUGAGUGAAGCGGGAAGAGCUCAAAUUUGAAAUCUUAAAGGGUUUCCCUUUACGAAUUGUAGUUUAAAGAAGUGUUUUCUGUUGAGGUUUUGGUAAAAGUUCUUUGGAAUAGGACAUCAUAGAGGGUGAGAAUCCCGUAUUUGACCUUUACUUUCAACUUUGUGAUACACUUUCAAAGAGUCGGAUUGUUUGGGAAUGCAGUCCAAAAUGGGUGGUAAAUUUCAUCUAAAGCUAAAUAUUGGCGAGAGACCGAUAGCGAACAAGUACCGUGAGGGAAAGAUGAAAAGAACUUUGAAAAGAGAGUUAAACAGUACGUGAAAUUGUCAAAAGGGAAGCGUUUGACACCAGUGUUGUUUUUCUGAAAAUCAAUUAAAGAACUGUUUAUGCUAAGCUGUUUAGACUUUAUCAGCUAACUGUUUAGUUUUGAGCUUUUCUUUAAUGCACUUUUCAGUUAACAAGUCAACAUCAAUUUCUUUUGCUGUAAAAAAGCUUGAGGAAGGUGGCUUGAGAUUCGUCUUAAGUGUUUAUAGCCUCUUGCCUAUGCAGUCGGAGAGAUUGAGGUCUGCAGCGUAGAUCCUUCGGGGCUAAAUGCAUUUGUGCUAAGUUAUAGCAUUUUAUAGACAACUUGUUGACUAUGAUUUGUCUUGUAGCUUACUCGCUUAUGUUAUUUUACCUACGCUUAGGAUGUUGAGUCGUAGAGCACGCAG
rnacentral:rRNA from 1 species